rnacentral:lncRNA from 1 species
CACCCCCUCGUUUCCCUGCCCCACCCUUUGUGCUGCACCCCGCUUUGCACCGCACCCCUCGCCCCCACGCACCCCCCUUGCAGCUGCCCCCUGCCCUGCAGUAGUGCCCUCCUGCUCCUCUGCUCCCCCUUUUGGGUUCUAACCCUGCUUUGCAGCUGCCCCCCGCCUUGCCGUGCACCCCUUGCCCCCGUGCACACCCCUUACAGUUCCACCCCACUUUGCAAAGCCCCCCCACGCCCCUUCCAGUGCCCUCUUUCCAACUGCACCCCACUUUGCAGCACGCCCCUCAGCCCUCCAACCCCUUUUCCAGUUGCAACCCACUCUGAAGUGCUCCACUUUCCAGUUGCACCGUUUUACAACACACCCCAUUGCAACGCCCCCUUUCCAGUUGCACCCCGCUUUCCGGUGCCCCUUUCCAGUUGCAGUUUCAAAACACCUCCCCCUUUCCAGUGGCACCCCAAUUUGCAGUGUCCCCGUCCCACUUGCAGCCUGUUUCACAGCACACCCCCACUUUGCAGUGCUCCCUUUCCAGUUGCACCCCGUUUCAAAACACCCCCCCCUUUCCUCGCACCCCAUAUCACAGCACACCCCGCUUUGCAGUGCCCCCUUCCCAGCUGCACCAUCCCAAAACACCUCCCCCUUUCCAGUUGCACCCCACUUUGCAGCCCCCCCUUCCCACUCGCACUGUUUCCCAGCACCCCUCACUUUGCAGCCCCCUUUCCCAGUUACACCCCAUUUCCCAGCACCAUUUCCACUCCCCUCCCCACUUCCCCCGUUUUUCAGCACCCCCUUUCCGCGUGCACCCNNNNNNNNNNUUUUUUUUUCCCGCCCCUCCCCGCCCUGCCCCCGGCCCGGCCCCUCCGCCGUGCCCAGGGCGCUGCAUUCCGCAGGCGCUGCGGGACCGCCUCCGCCCCUGCCUCCUCCCCGCGGCCGCCCCGGCCGCUCCGGGGGAUGUUCCGCCGUUCCUCCGCCACCCAAGCCCCGGUCCCGGUCCCGGCUUUUCGCAGCCUGCCGCCGGGGCUGCUCCGAGCCCGCAGCACCCGUGGGUCCCGGUCCCCAGCGAGCCCCCGC